UACAGAGGGGGCAAGCGUUGUUCGGAAUUACUGGGCGUAAAGGGCGCGUAGGUGGCCUUCUAAGUUGAACGUGAAAUCCCUGGGCUCAACCCAGGAACUGCGUCCAAGAACUGGGAGGCUUUGAAUCCGGGAGAGGGAUGCGGAAUUCCAGGUGUAGCGGUGAAAUGCGUAGAUAUCUGGAGGAACACCGGUGGCGAAGGCGGCAUCCUGGACCGGGGAUUGACGCUGAUGCGCGAAAGCC
rnacentral:rRNA from 1 species